AUGACGGCCCAGCUCCAUCGGCCCAGACGCCCCACGGCACAGGCCCAGGAGCCGAGCCAGAGCUGCCGAGUCAGAGGCCCGGGAAACCAAGAAAUCAAGCCACCACCCAAAGAGGGCGCAUCUGCAACUCCUGAGCCGACGGGAGACAGCCCGUCCAGCACUUUUCAGCCGGAACAAGGCGCCCAGCAGACACGGCAUCGCGGUCACCGAGCCCCCGGCCACGGCAGGGCAGCUCCGACCCCCUCACUCACUGGGUGUUCAGUCCAGCGUCCACUUCAGGAUAAGGAGCCUGUCUUUAAGCAGACACGAGGCAUGUCCACACACACCGGCCUCACGGUGGGCACGACAGCGCACGCUCCAACCCAGUGCUGCAUCUGCUCCCACAAAGCAGGAGGAAACAAAACCUCCUUUAACCCACAGGGCAGGGGCGCCCCGUCAGGGAGGACACGGACAGGCCGGAGCACCAUCCCUGCGUCUCCCAAAGCCCCGAGCUCCUCCUCUCAGGCCCGAGGGGGCCCUGAAGCCUUGGCCAUCUCCUCUCUGGGGCAGGCAUCGCCACUGCACGAGUCGGACCCUGAAGGCCGUCUGUUUCUGUCCAACAGCGGGUCUCAUGCAGGACUGCAGGCCCGCCCACGACCCAGCACCCCUGCCUCCAGGUCGCAGGGCCGCCUCGUCCAGAUGGCCCAUGAGGCAAGGUGGCCCUUACCUUCAGCUCAGGGCCCGCCGGUGAGCUGGCCCAUCUGUGGAGCCCAGGUGGGUGGAUUCCUCCCCGUAGGGGUCGUGGGCAUCACCUCCUCAUUCCAGGACACACAGGCAGACAGGCGUCCAGGCAGGACACAGGGUCUCCGGCAGCUCCCGCUGUGCGGAGACAGAGCGAGCGCACGUAAGAAGGACGUGGGGACAUUCGGAAGACCCUGCUGGCCAGGCACACGGAAGCCUCCGCCCUGGGCGUGCCUGCACGUGGAUCACGGAAGAGAAAGGCUGGGGCUUCCGGUACUCGAGGAGGGCAGAGGCAGGGCCGACCCAGAAGCAGAGACGACAGAACUCCCAAGUUCAGACCGGCUGGGCCUCUGGUCGCUACUGGGGCUCCAGCCCACGCCACCGUGCGGUGGCCCAGACGCUGGGCUGCUGCUUGCUGCUGCUAAGUCACUUCAGUCGUGUCCGACUCUGUGUGACCCNNNNNNNNNNNNNNNNNNNNNNNNNNNNNNNNNNNNNNNNNNNNNNNCAAGAACACUGGAGUGGGUUGCCAUUUCCUUCUCCAAUGCAUGA
rnacentral:lncRNA from 1 species